rnacentral:pre_miRNA from 1 species
AAAGACCACAUUUUUGUAUUGUUUAUGUUCAAUGUUUGACCAUUUAUCUUAUUUGAAAAAAAUAAUGAUUAUAGUAUUUUCUUAUUGUUAUUAGAUGAUAAAACAUGAAUAGUACUUUAUCGUGACUAAAUUUUUAACUUUUUAAUACUUUUUUUAAAUAAGAUGGAUAGUCAAACAUUUAACAUAGAAAUCCACAACAACAUUUAAA